rnacentral:rRNA from 1 species
UACGUAGGUGGCAAGCGUUGUCCGGAUUUACUGGGCGUAAAGAGCGCGCAGGCGGCUGGUCAAGUCCGAUGUGAAAUCUCCCGGCUUAACUGGGAAACUGCAUCGGAAACUGAUCGGCUUGAAUGUGGGAGAGGGUAGUGGAAUUCCCGGUGUAGUGGUGAAAUGCGUAGAUAUCGGGAGGAACACCAGUGGCGAAGGCGACUACCUGGCCCAUUCUUGACGCUGAGGCGCGAAAGCUAGGGGAGCGAACGGG